UACGUAGGCAGCGAGCGUUGUUCGGAAUUACUGGGCGUAAAGAGUGUGUAGGCGGUGUUCCAAGUCUGGUGUGAAAUCUCCCGGCUUAACUGGGAGGGUGCGCCGGAAACUGGAAUGCUUCGAGGGUGGGAGAGGUAAGCGGAAUUCCUGGUGUAGCGGUGAAAUGCGUAGAUAUCAGGAGGAACACCUGCGGUGUAGGCAGCUUUCUGGACCACGACUGACGCUGAGACACGAAAGCGUGGGUAGCAAACAGG
rnacentral:rRNA from 1 species